UAUCUUUAGUUGCCAUCAUUGAGUUGGGCACUCUAAAGAGACUGCCGGUGUCAAACCGGAGGAAGGUGGGGGAUGACGUCAAGUCCUCAUGGCCUUUAUGACCAGGGCUACACACGUACCACAAUGGCCGGUACAAAGGGCAGCGACACAGCGAUGUGAAAGCCAAUCCCGAAAAGCCGGUCUCAGUCCGGAUUGGAGUCUGCAACUCGACUCCAUGAAGUUGGAAUCGCUAGUAAUCGCGGAUCAGCACGCCGCGGUCGAAUACGUUCCCGGGCCUUGU
rnacentral:rRNA from 1 species